CAGUAGCCACGGUAAUACGGAGGGUGCAAGCGUUAAUCGGAAUUACUGGGCGUAAAGCGUGCGUAGGCGGUUCGUUAAGUCUGUUGUGAAAGCCCCGGGCUCAACCUGGGAAUGGCAAUGGAUACUGGCGAGCUAGAGUGUGUCAGAGGAUGGUGGAAUUCCCGGUGUAGCGGUGAAAUGCGUAGAGAUCGGGAGGAACAUCAGUGGCGAAGGCGGCCAUCUGGGACAACACUGACGCUGAGGCACGAAAGCGUGGGGAGCAAACAGGAUUAGAUACCCGCGUAGUCCCUGUCUCUUAUAC
rnacentral:rRNA from 1 species